GGAUUAGAUACCCUGGUAGUCCUUGCCGUAAACGAUGUAUACUUGAUGUAGUUGGGCUCAACCCCGACUGUGUCGUAGCUAACGCGAUAAGUAUACUGCCUGAGGAGUACGCUCGCAAGGGUGAAACUCAAAAGAAUUGACGGGGGCCCGCACAAGCAGUGGAGCAUGUGGUUUAAUUCGAUGCAACGCGAAGAACCUUACCCAGGUUAGAAGUGCAGGGGAAGUUAUCAGAGAUGAUAACGUCCGCAAGGACCGCUGCAUAGGUGCUGCAUGGCUGUCGUCAGCUCGUGCCG
rnacentral:rRNA from 1 species